rnacentral:lncRNA from 1 species
AUUCCGCCUGCGCGGCCCCCGCCCGUACACGAGCUCCUCUGGGGUCUACUCACCAGUGACAGACUCGACGAUCGAAGUGUCUGAGCGUGGCCCGGCCUCACCGGCGGGCUCCCAAAACAGCGCUGACAGACAGGACCAUGGAGGAGAGGCGCUGCCGGCCUAGAGAGGCAAAGCUCCAGCGACCACGGCGGCAGGAGCGGCUGCGUAGGAAAGAAACGUUUCCGGGGAAAGCAGCGGAGGGGCGGGGCUGAGGUUGCGCAGGCGUAGUGGGUGCAACCUCUGCCUGAACCUCCUGAACCAGGUACAAGCAGCCGGAUAGCGAACUGAGCACAUGCGCAGAAGGAAGAGUGAAGGCAAACGGAAGAGAGGAACGAAGGCCGCAGAGCUUGCGCGCCCUCUAGAGGGGAAUUCUUUUUUUAAAGGAAGGCGGCUAGGGGAGAGGCAAGUGGGGUGGCUUAGGACGCGGUAAUGAUGUUUGGGAAUUAACGAGGUGAUAAACUGUGUCGUUAUUUUCAGCCUAAAUUCUCAAUGUUUUCUCCUAGUUAGAGUCUGAUAACUUGAAGUGGACCUGCAAGCUCCUCCACGUAGGAGUUUGCCAAUGUUCCCGCUGUACAGAUAGUUAAGCUAAGGGCCAGAGAAGGAAAGCAACAUACUGUUUCAACGACACAGUUAGUAGCAAAGUAAGUAUUAAAAUUCAAGUGUUGGUCGGGCGCGGUGGCUCACGCCUGUAAUCCCAGCACUUUGGGAGGCUGAGGUGGGCGGAUUACCUGAGGUCGGUGUUUCGAGACCAGCCUGACCAACAUGGAGAAACCCCGUCUCUGCUAAAAAUACAAAAUUAGCGGGGCGUGGUGGCGCACGCCUGUAGUCCUAGCUACUCGGGAGGCUGAGCCAGGAGAAUUGCUUGAACCCGGGAGGCAGAGGUUGCAGUGAGCCGAGAUCACGCCAUUGCACUCCAGCCUGGGCAACAAGAGCAAAACUCCGUCUCUAAAUAAAUAAAUAAAUAAAUAAAUAAAUAAAUAAAAUUCAAGUGUUUCCUCAACACUACAACAUUGAUUUCGCACCUACUCGGUGGCAGGAAGGCUAGAACAUGUAUAUAUAAGACAGCCCCUGCCCUGAGACACAGAUGAACUAUAUUAGAAGGCAGAGUAGUGGGUGUUUUAAAAUGUGGGUGUCCAGUGGAAAAAGGCACAGGUUCUGAAGUCGCACAUAGGAGUAAAUCCUGACCCUCUCUGCUGCCAUGACUGUUUUAUCUAUCUUCCAAAUCCGAAUAGUGGACAGUCAGUAAAUAUUUGCUGAAUGAGUUAAGAACAGAAAAAGCAAGAGCAAAUCGAUAACUCACUUAUUCCUACUCCAGCAGACGAAAACCCAUCAACUUCAUUGAUCCUAGGUUCCCCCUCUCUGAAGUGGAAAGACGGGAAGUAAGUUGUUCCAGGAAAAGAAUUUGGGUUUUAGGGCCAGCUAUGCCACCCAGUGUGACCAGCAAGCCACUUCCUUCUU